rnacentral:rRNA from 1 species
CCUACGGGUGACAGCAGUGAGGAAUAUUGGUCAAUGGGCGCGAGCCUGAACCAGCCAAGUAGCGUGAAGGAUGACUGCCCUACGGGUUGUAAACUUCUUUUAUAAAGGAAUAAAGUGAGGCUCGAGUGCCUUUUUGUAUGUACUUUAUGAAUAAGGAUCGGCUAACUCCGUGCCAGCAGCCGCGGUAAUACGGAGGAUCCGAGCGUUAUCCGGAUUUAUUGGGUUUAAAGGGAGCGUAGAUGGGUUGUUAAGUCAGUUGUGAAAGGCUGCGGCUCAACCGUGAAAGUGCAAUUGAUACUGGCGGUCUUGAGAGCUGGAGAGGUAGGCGGAAUGCGGAGUGUAGCGGUGAAAUGCUUAGAUAUUACGCAGAACUCCAAUUGCGAAGGCAGCAUACUGGACGGUAACUGACGUUGAGGCUCGAAAGUGUGGGUAUCAAACAGGAUUAGAUACCCGGGUAGUC